UACGUAGGGUGCAAGCGUUGUCCGGAAUUAUUGGGCGUAAAGAGCUCGUAGGCGGUUCGUCGCGUCGGCUGUGAAAACCCGAGGCUCAACCUCGGGCCUGCAGUCGAUACGGGCGGACUGGAGUUCGGCAGGGGAGACUGGAAUUCCUGGUGUAGCGGUGAAAUGCGCAGAUAUCAGGAGGAACACCGGUGGCGAAGGCGGGUCUCUGGGCCGAUACUGACGCUGAGGUGCGAAAGUGUGGGGAGCGAACAGG
rnacentral:rRNA from 1 species